GAUGAAGAACGUAGCGAAAUGCGAUAAGUAGUGUGAAUUGCAGAAUUCAGUGAAUCAUCGAAUCUUUGAACGCACAUUGCGCCCUUUGGUAUUCCUUAGGGCAUGCCUGUUCGAGCGUCAUUUAAACCUUCAAGCUAAGCUUGGUGUUGGGUGACUGUCCGCUUCACGGCGGACUCGCCUCAAAAUUAUUGGCGGCCGGUACAUUGGCUUCGAGCGCAGCAGAAACGCGAACUCGGGCCCGUCGUAUUGGCACCCAGAAGCUAUCUUCACAAUUUUGACCUCGGAUCAGGUAGGGAUACCCGCUGAACUUAAGCAUAUCAAUAAGCGGAGGA
rnacentral:misc_RNA from 1 species